rfam:Puccinia sorghi strain RO10H11247 Scaffold_2055, whole genome shotgun sequence.
GCCCGGCUAGCUCAGUUGGUAGAGCAUUCGACUCUUACUCAUGAGUCUUGACCCUGGUUUGGCCUUGAAGCCGCUCCGGAAGUCCAUCGAAUUGUCGUGGGUUCGAGCCCCACGUUGGGCG